UCUCUGUUUUGUUUCCCCACCUUGUAUAUCCAUUCUGGGGCCUCGAGUAGCACCUGGCACCAAAAGGUGCUCAACCUGUAGCUGUUGAAUGAUUGAAUGAAUGAUCUGUCAGUCGGUCCCUUAGGAGUUCAGUUAGCAGGGCUUGUGGCCUAGAGUCUGAGCAGAAGUCAGGGGCUGGAGCGGGGUGGACUGGGUCUACCCAGGUACUUCCCGGAGGCCCAGAGGCCUGGGCUGAGAGUUGUUCUCUUUUUAUCGGAAACACCAUGAUGUGUUUGUUUUUAAAGCAAAUGAGGAAAUGACAGUUCAGCCUCUGCUGCAUUCAAGUGAGACCCACCCUUCAGUGGAAUCGAGGCGGCUGAGGCCACAGCCCUGAGAAGGGAGAAGGUACGGUCCCGUCGACACCAGAGGAGGGGCAGCCCCUGCCCCCGCUUGGAGACAUGGAGAGGAGCAGGGCCCUGCAGGGCUGGAGGCUGGGGUUCCAGAACUGUCCAGAUGUCUGGCAGCAGACGCCACUCACCAGCAACAACCUCUCACCCUGCCAGCCAAGGUCUCUACCACCGGCGGGGGCCUGACGCCAGGGUCCCCAGCUGGGGGUACUCCUCCCCGCAGUGUGCUGGCCGACUCUCCUCUCUCCUGUGAGGAGCUGCUGGUGGCUGUAAGAGAGGCAGAUUCUUGAGCCACCUGGGAAGCCUGAUGGAAUCAUGAGGGUCCUUUUGAAGGACUGGACCCGUCAAGGCUGGGGCCUCAGGGCAGAGAGACGAGAGGGAA